UGUCCUUGAUUAGUGAGGGUGGGUUUUCCUGUAAAUAAUGAAAACAACUUCUCCCUCUGAGACCAAGCCCUGGCAGGGUCUCCAGAUGCCCCAUUCAGACUUAGCACUGCCUAGAUAGUAGACAAAGUCUGAGUUCAUCCCUUCACUGGUCUCCGAGAUCCAGGAGGUCAGGGAGCAUCCCCUACUUUCCAAAUUCAGUCCCAGCUUACCUUCUCCACUGGACCCCUGGUGGCCCCAUGUCACACCACAGUGUCCCAGUAUCCCCGUCUACACAUGCUUGUUAUAUCUUCUGACUCACUGUGCAAUCUGUUACCUAAGAUGUUAUCAGUUCUCCUGCCUAAGCAUAUAUGCUCCAUUAGGAGAAAGAUUUGUCUUCAUUGCUUUUGUCCUCACUUUCUAGAAGGGAGUGUAGCAAGCACCCUAAAUCCAGAGAGGCUCAGCUAUAACAUGAGCUCUCUGUCCACAGAGCAUCACACAGACUGCUUGGCAAACUGGCAGCCCCAGCUCCUGCACCGUGCACCCUGUAGAGACAAGAUGCAGCUCAGACCUACAAGGGACCUAUCCAUAAGUGUUUUGACUUUGGAGAAAUUGUUAGUCAGUUUUGUUGUUGUUGUUGCCUUGGUUGUUCCCUCUCUCUUUUCGAACUCUAACUUCCAGUCAGAGCAAAUUCUAAAACUUGGGGAAAGCGACUUUGAGCACCUGGCAGGGCGCUUGCUUCAUCUCCCCAAGCAAAGCCUGCGAGCCUUUGUAUCCUGGAGACUUCAA
rnacentral:lncRNA from 1 species